CGGAGCUGCCGGAGCCACCGGGCUGCGGGACGGAGCCUGGGGCGAGCCGGAGCGUGGGACUUGUUGCGGGCCUGGCGGUAACUCACCCAGCCCGUUCUGUUUGUUUGUUUUUCUCCUCGUACUUUUUUAUUUUUUAAUUUUGUAUUUUUUUCUAAUCCUCUUCGCCAUCCCUCAGCCGGCGGUGCCGGCGGGGCAGCGCCGCUCACCUGCGGGGCCGAGGAGGGACAUUUUGAGGCCGAGCGGCGGGCGGAGGCCGGCCCCGACAGAACAUGGAGGCGCGGGGCCUCGCCGCGGCCGCCCGCUCAACUUGGGCGCUCGGCGGCCGCCCACCGGAGGCCUCCGCGGCCCAGGCCGGGAGGGGGGGGGGGAGCCCGGCCCCGCCCGGGGAAGGCCCCGAACUUCCUGGGGGUGCGGGGGGUGGUGGCGCGGAGCGGGGCUUCCACCGCCCGCCCCCCGUCAGGCAGCGGCGAAUCCCCCGGGAGCGAGGCCGCGGCGCCGCUCGCCCCGCCGAAAGCCGGGGCCGCCCCCCCCGGGCCCGGCGACAUUUUGCGGCGCUGGGGGAGCGCCGUGCCCCGGGCGGCCCCGCUGCCAUCUUAGCGCGGCGCCCCCACCCCGCCCGGGCCGGGCCGGGCCCCGUUAGGCGCGGGGCAGGCGCGGAGCCGGGCCCGGCCGCUCACCUUGAUGUGGAAGCGGAUGAGGGCCAGGCGGAUGCAGUGCGCCAUGCAGACGGGCGGCAGGAACCAGACCUUGGGCGGCGGGGUGCCCUUGUUCUGGACGUGGCUGACGAUCUGCUGCGCCGUCUGGCGCUCGUUGCCCUGGCGCUUCACCCACUCGUGCAGCCGGGCCUUCUCCAGGGCGCCGUUGAAGAAGACGAAGAGCUCGAUGUUCCCGUUGAAGCAGGCCUUGGCCAGGGCCGCCAGGUAGCCCAGCAUGUGGUUCCACUGCCCGCCGCUCACCCAGUCCGUGUAGAAGCCGCCGUAGAGCCGGUGCAGGCAGUUGUCGGCGUCGAUGAGGAGGCGCAGCGGGGUCUGCGGGGGCCGCUGGCGGCCCCCACCCACGAGGCUGCCCCGCGCCAGCUUCUGCAGCUCGACGGGCACCACGGCGCUGGGGCAGUGCUUCUCGAUGUAGUCCUGGAAACCCUGCACUCCCAUGGCGAGGACCGGGCGGCG
rnacentral:lncRNA from 1 species